rnacentral:rRNA from 1 species
UACAGAGGUCUCAAGCGUUGUUCGGAUUCAUUGGGCGUAAAGGGUGCGUAGGCGGCGCGGUAAGUCGGGUGUGAAAUCUCGGAGCUUAACUCCGAAACUGCAUUCGAUACUGCCGUGCUUGAGGACUGGAGAGGAGACUGGAAUUUACGGUGUAGCGGUGAAAUGCGUAGAUAUCGUAAGGAAGACCAGUGGCGAAGGCGGCUCUCUGGACCGUUACUGACGCUGAGGCGCGAAAGUCAGGGGAGCAAACGGG